rnacentral:rRNA from 1 species
CCUACGGGGGGCUGCAGUCGAGAAUCAUUCACAAUGGGGGAAACCCUGAUGGUGCAACGCCGCGUGGGGGAAUGAAGGUCUUCGGAUUGUAAACCCCUGUCAUGUGGGAGCAAAUUAAAAAGAUAGUACCACAAGAGGAAGAGACGGCUAACUCUGUGCCAGCAGCCGCGGUAAUACAGAGGUCUCAAGCGUUGUUCGGAAUCACUGGGCGUAAAGCGUGCGUAGGCUGUUUCGUAAGUCGUGUGUGAAAGGCGCGGGCUCAACCCGCGGACGGCACAUGAUACUGCGAGACUAGAGUAAGGGAGGGGGAACCGGAAUUCUCGGGGUAGCAGUGAAAUGCGUAGAUAUCGAGAGGAACACUCGUGGCGAAGGCGGGUUCCUGGACAUUAACUGACGCUGAGGCACGAAGGCCAGGGGAGCGAAAGGGAUUAGAUACCCUUGUAGUC